CCAGGACGAUUGGCUAGCACCUUCACGUGGUGUCCUGGGUCAGUAGCGCAGCCUGUUCACGGGCUAGUCAGCGAAGCCAAGACCAGC
rnacentral:ribozyme from 1 species